rnacentral:rRNA from 1 species
GACGAACGCUGGCGGCGUGCUUAACACAUGCAAGUCGAACGAUGAAGCCCAGCUUGCUGGGUGGAAGAGUGGCGAACGGGUGAGUAACACGUGAGUAACCUGCCCCGAACUCUGGGAUAAGCGCUGGAAACGGCGUCUAAUACUGGAUAUGCAUCAUGGCCGCAUGGUCUGUGAUGGGAAAGAUUUAUCGGUUCGGGAUGGACUCGCGGCCUAUCAGCUAGAUGGUGAGGUAACGGCUCACCAUGGCGACGACGGGUAGCCGGCCUGAGAGGGUGACCGGCCACACUGGGACUGAGACACGGCCCAGACUCCUACGGGAGGCAGCAGUGGGGAAUAUUGCACAAUGGGCGAAAGCCUGAUGCAGCAACGCCGCGUGAGGGAUGACGGCCUUCGGGUUGUAAACCUCUUUUAGUAGGGAAGAAGCGAAAGUGACGGUACCUGCAGAAAAAGCACCGGCUAACUACGUGCCAGCAGCCGCCGUAACAC